UACGAAGGGGGCUAGCGUUGCUCGGAAUUACUGGGCGUAAAGGCGCGUAGGCGGCCGAUCAAGUCAGGCGUGAAAUUCCUGGGCUUAACCUGGGGGCUGCGCUUGAGACUGACUGGCUAGAGGAUGGAAGAGGCUCGUGGAAUUCCCGGUGUAGAGGUGAAAUUCGUAGAUAUUGGGAAGAACACCGGUGGCGAAGGCGGCGAGCUGGUCCAUUACUGACGCUGAGGCGCGACAGCGUGGGGAGCAACAGG
rnacentral:rRNA from 1 species